rnacentral:rRNA from 1 species
UACGUAGGGCGCAAGCGUUGUCCGGAAUUAUUGGGCGUAAAGAGCUCGUAGGCGGCCUGUUGCGUCCGCUGUGAAAUCCCGGGGCUUAACCCCGGGCGUGCAGUGGAUACGGGCAGGCUGGAGGCAGGCAGGGGAGAACGGAAUUCCCGGUGUAGCGGUGAAAUGCGCAGAUAUCGGAAGGAACAUCAGUGGCGAAAGCGACUUCCUGGACCAAUACUGACGCUCAUGUGCGAAAGCGUGGGGAGCAAACAGG